rnacentral:rRNA from 1 species
UUGUACCUACGGGACGCAGCAGUGAGGAAUAUUGGUCAAUGGGCGGGAGCCUGAACCAGCCAAGUCGCGUGAGGGACGACGGUCCUAUGGAUUGUAAACCUCUUUUGUCGGGGAACAAAGGCGCCCACGGGUGGGCGGAUGAGUGUACCCGAAGAAAAAGCAUCGGCUAACUCCGUGCCAGCAGCCGCGGUAAUACGGAGGAUGCGAGCGUUAUCCGGAUUUAUUGGGUUUAAAGGGUGCGUAGGCGGACAGUCAAGUCAGCGGUAAAAAUGCGGUGCUCAACGCCCUACCGCCGUUGGAACUGG